GCGGUGGGAAGCUCAUCAGUGGGGCUACAAGCUGAGUGCACGACCUCACUCCAUCCCAUGUCCCUUGGGAAGGUCUGAGACUAGGGCCAAAAGCAGACCUAACAGGUCUCUCCCUGACUUUCGGGGAGGUGAGUUCCCAGAGAGUGGAUUCACCCAAUGAAGAGGAAAUAUUAUAUGCACACAGUAAUGAAAGACCAUUUGGAGUUAUCAUAGUAGCCUAAUGUUGAGUACACAAUGAACUAUGAUGGUACUAAUUAGACAAUUCCUACUGG
ensembl:ribozyme RNaseP_nuc Nuclear RNase P